GGAUUAGGCAUGCAAGUCGGGCGAGAAGGCACCUUCGGGUGUGAGUACAGCGGCGAAAGGGUGAGUAAUAUAUAGACAAUCUACCCUCGAGACCGGAACAACCUCCCUAACGGGUGGCUAAUGCCGGAUGGUGCCACGAGAGCUCAUGCUCUUGUGGCUAAAGGUGGGUUCCUACCACUCGAGGAGGAGUCUAUGUCCUAUUAGCUUGUUGGUGGGGUAACGGCCCACCAAGGCAAUGAUGGGUAGCCGGACUGAGAGGUUGGCCGGUCACACUGGGACUGAGACACUGCCCAGACUCCUACGGGAGGCUGCAGUCGAGAAUCUUCCGCAAUGGACGAAAGUCUGACGGAGCGACGCCGCGUGGGGGAUGAAGGCCUUCGGGUUGUAAACCCCUGUCAGGGGUCAUGAAAUUCGGUACGGUUAAUACCCGUGCCGUUUGACGUUAGCCCCAGAGGAAGCACUGGCUAACUACGUGCCAGCAGCCGCGGUAAUACGUAGAGUGCAAACGUUGUUCGGAAUUACUGGGCAUAAAGAGCUCGUAGGUGGCAUGGCAAGUCGGUUGUGAAAGCCCCUGGCUCAACCAGGGAAUUGCUGCCGAAACUGCUGUGCUUGAGUGUGAGAGGGGAGAGUGGAACUUCCAGUGGAGCGGUGAAAUGCGUAGAUAUUGGAAGGAACGCCGGUGGCGAAAGCGACUCUCUGGCUCACUACUGACACUGAGGAGCGAAAGCUAGGGUAGCGAACGGGAUUAGAUACCCCGGUAGUCCUAGCCCUAAACGAUGGGCACUAAGUAGAGGGGUUUU
rnacentral:rRNA from 1 species